AUUGAACGCUGGCGGCAGGCUUAACACAUGCAAGUCGAGCGAGCGGCGGACGGGUGAGUAAUGUCUGGGAAACUGCCUGAUGGAGGGGGAUAACUACUGGAAACGGUAGCUAAUACCGCAUACCAUCAGAUGGGCCCAGAUGGGAAUAGCUAGUAGGUGGGGUAAUGGCUCACCUAGGCGACUAUCCCUAGCUGGUCUGAGGGGAUGACCAGCCACACUGGAACUGAGACACGGUCCAGACUCCUACGGGAAGCAGCAGUGGGGAAAAUUGAAAAAUGGGCGGAAGCCUGAUGCAGCCAUGCCGCGUGUGUGAAGAAGGCCGUGGGGUUGUAAAGCACUUUCGGCGAGGAAGCGUUACUCGCAGAAGAAGCACCGGCUAACUCCGUGCCAGCAGCCGCGGUAUUC
rnacentral:rRNA from 1 species